rnacentral:rRNA from 1 species
ACUGCUCAGUAACACGUGGCUAAUCUGCCCUUAGGACGAGAACAACCCCGGGAAACUGGGGCUAACUCUUGAUAGGUGAAGAACUCUGGAAUGAGUCUUUGCCUAAAAAGAUUCACGUUAUCCUCGUGAACCUGCCUAAGGAUGAGGCCGCGACCGAUCAGGUUGUUGGCGAGGUAAUGGCUCACCAAGCCUUUUACCGGUGCGGGCCGUGGGAGCGGGAGCCCGGAGAUGGGUACUGAGACAAGGACCCAGGCCCUACGGGGCGCAGCAGUCGCGAAACCUUUGCAAUACACGAAAGUGUGACAGGGCUAUCCCGAGUGCCAUCCGCUGAGGAAGGCUUUUACCCAGUCUAGAACGCUGGGGGAAUAAGGAGAGGGCAAGUCUGGUGUCAGCCGCCGCGGUAAUACCAGCUCUCCGAGUGGUGUGGAUGUUUAUUGGGCCUAAAGCAUCCGUAGCUGGCUAGGUAAGUCCCUUGUUAAAUCCACCGAAUUAAUCGUUGGAUCGCGGGGGAUACUACUUGGCUAGGGGACGAGAGAGGCAGACGGUAUUUUCGGGGUAGGGGUGAAAUCCUAUAAUCCCGGGAAGACCACCAGUGGCGAAGGCUGUCUGCUAGAACGCGCCCGACGGUGAGGGAUGAAAGCUGGGGGAGCGAACCGGAUUAGAUACCCGGGUAGUCCCAGCUGUAAACGAUGCAGGCUAGGUGUUUGGACGGCCACGUGCCGUUCUAGUGCCGCAGGGAAGCUGUUAAGCCUGCCGCCUGGGGAGUACGAUCGCAAGAUUGAAACUUAAAGGAAUUGGCGGGGGAGCA